UACAGAGGUGCCGAGCGUUAGGCGGAAUCACUGGGCUUAAAGCGCGUGUAGGCGGGUCGCUAAGUGUCCGCGUGAAAUCCCACGGCUCAACCGUGGAACGGCCGGGCAUACUGACGACCUUGAGGUGCUCAGGGGCGAGCGGAACGAACGGUGGAGCGGUGAAAUGCGUAGAUAUCGUUCGGAACGCCGACGGUGAAAACAGCUCGCUGGGAGCAUCCUGACGCUGAGACGCGAAAGCCAGGGGAGCGAAACGGG
rnacentral:rRNA from 1 species